GUCGGUCAUCUAGAUUGUGUUGUUGAAGUAUAAAAAAAUUAUCCACCUUUUUUACAAUAACAGUAACCUUUUAGGUUGAGUCAGACGGUGCAUGCAAGCUCAAUAUUGUGUAGAAGAAGAAAUGAAGUAGAGACCAUAGAAAAAAGUUAAUGCAUAUAUGGGACACAUCAAUACAUAACCAUACAUUUUUUAUGCUAUUUAGUGAAUUGAUUUGAGGAUAGAAUGGAAGAAUAAAACAACAUUUUUUUACCUCAGGAAGGUAUGCCUUAUUUUUUUAUAAUUUCUUGAAAAAUAUAGUGCAACUAUGAAAACUUUGCAGCUAUUUAAGUAUUUAUUUGUAUAUUUACUGCUACACUAUAAGAUGUCUUAAUCGUCUAGUUGGUCAUCUAGAUUGUGUUGUUGAAGUACAAAAAAAAUUAUCCGCCUUUUUACAAUUCAAUAACCUUUUAGGUUGAGUCAGUCGGUGCAUGCAAGCUCAAUAUUGUGUAGAAGAAGAAAUGAAGUAGAGACCAUAGAAAAAGGUUAAUGCAUAUAUGGGAGACAUCAAUACAUAACAAGACAUUUUUUCUCUCACCAUCAGACUAACUGACAAAGUGAUAAUAAAUAACACAUGCAACUUAAAGAAGAUGCAGAGACUACCAAAU
rnacentral:lncRNA from 1 species